GGAGCCUUCCUGCACCUCCAUACCCUCAACCCCCUGCUCCAAAAUUCUUUGAAUUUAGAGUGAAGAAAAAUUUCUGAUUCCAGGACAUCAGAAAGCCAAGCACUUAUCAGAUGAUUAAGUUUGACUUGAAAGAAUUAAGCUCAGAGCAGAUAAUUACUUGGAAUGAAUUAUCUUGGGAAGACCUCCGGGGAUUGGACAUCCACCCUAAGGUGGAUCAAGGGGCGGGUUGUUUGGAUUCCAACAACCCUUAUUAAGGACAGAGCCUAGGCCCUUCCUCGCUUUUCCAAGUCUUUUGCCAACCAGUUUGUUAGACUUUCCCCUAUUCUAAAUCAGGUCGGAGCAGAGCAUGGCCGUGGGAACGAGUGCUCUCAGCAAGGAGCCGUGGUGGACCCUGCCCGAAAACUUUCAUCCUCCAAUGGUGUUCCACAUGGAGGAGGACCAGGAGGAGCUCAUCUUCGGACUUGAUGACACAUACCUUCGCUGCAUUGAGCUGCACAGCCACACCCUUAUUCAGCUGGAGAGGUGUUUCACAGCUACAGGCCAGACACGUG
rnacentral:sRNA from 1 species